rnacentral:rRNA from 1 species
GGUCGCUAAGACCCGAUGUGCCGAGAGGUGAAAUAUUUAUAGCCUGUAGAUGAGCUCGCGUCUGAUUAGCUAGUUGGUAGUGUAAUGGACUACCAAGGCGACGAUCAGUAGCUGGUCUGAGAGGAUGAUCAGCCACACUGGGACUGAGACACGGCCCAGACUCCUACGGGAGGCAGCAGUGGGGAAUUUUCCGCAAUGGGCGAAAGCCUGACGGAGCAAGACCGCGUGAGGGAGGAAGGCUUGUGGGUUGUAAACCUCUUUUCUCUGGGAAGAAGAUCUGACGGUACCAGAGGAAUCAGCAUCGGCUAACUCCGUGCCAGCAGCCGCGGUAAUACGGAGGAUGCAAGCGUUAUCCGGAAUUAUUGGGCGUAAAGCGUCCGUAGGUUGUUAUACAAGUCAGUUGUUAAAGCGUGGAGCUUAACUCCAUAACGGCGAUUGAAACUGUAAGACUAGAGUGCGGUAGGGGUCAGGGGAAUUCCCAGUGUAGCGGUGAAAUGCGUAGAUAUUGGGAAGAACAC